GACACUUUGGCCGAGUGGUUAAGGCGAUGCCCUGCUAUUGCGCACAGUAUAUCAAGGCAUUGGGUUCGCCCGCGCAGGUUCGAAUCCUGCAGGUGUCG